rnacentral:rRNA from 1 species
CCCUUAGAUGUCCUGGGCCGCACGCGUGCUACACUGACGCCUACAGCGAGUACUUCCCAGCCCCGAGAGGUGGCUGGUGAUCAGCAAUAGGCGUCGUGAUGGGGAUAGAUCUUUGGAAUUAUGGAUCUUGAACGAGGAAUGCCUAGUAAGCGCAGGUCAUUAGCCUGCGCUGAUUAAGUCCCUGCCCUUUGUACACACCGCCCGUCGCUCCUACCGAUUUCGAGUGGUCCGGUGAAUCUUUCGGACUGCGCGCGGCCUCGUGCCGUGUCGCGGAAAGUCAGGUAAACCUUAUCACUUAGAGGAAGGAGAAGUCGUAACA